CAGGUUGAUUUAGAAAAUGAACUUUUGAAGGCAGGAACUUCCCCUAACUGUAUGCGUGCUCACUGCCCAACACAGCGGAGCUGCAGCCUUGCUUAGGGUCUCUGGCAGACAUUAUAACUUAGGAAGAUGAACAAAAUCAUCCUGAUAUUGCCCUCACAGGAGAAAGAUGCAAGUCUCUUUUCAGACAGUCUGUCUACCAAUACCAUCCUGUGAGGGUGAUUGCCAGAACCACAGUUAGCUCUGCUGGGAGAGGCCAAGCCAGAGGAGCACCCUAUUUGCUUUCAUGAAGGGCCAGCAAUGUGCACUGAGAGCCCGCUGUGGCUGAGGGACUUGGUAAGGGUCUGUACCUAUUUACACUUUGUGAGCCAUUAUCUUACAGGAGUCAGCCGUGCUGUCCCGCCUCAGGCCUCAACCUGCUGCAGCUGAUUUGAGAGUUUGCUGAGCCCGAGGCCGUAACCUGCUGCUGCUGCCUUCAUCUUUUAUUUGCUAACUGCCUGAUGCCACCUGUCUACCUCACAUGAUACAGCAAUUGGGACCAGAUCGUCUCCACCACACAGAAAGUUGGAAAUAAAUUUCCCUCCCAAUAUGUUCAUAACUCCACUGACACGAUAGUAAGGUCCUUCCUCGCAGAGCUGAAGGAGCACUGUACCAAACCUGUCAGAACUCGAAUGGAACCACUUUUAAUUCAUGUAUCUUCAGAAAGGUGGAAAGAUCAGUUCUGCAGCAUAUUAGGAGAGAGACAAAGGCUAAAUUACAUGCACCCCACUGACAAUUGAGUGAUGGGACUUCCUUCCUGACAAAACUGUGUGACAAUUUUAUAAUUCCUCAUUAUAACCCUGAUAAUCAAAGGCCAUAUUUAUUGCUUGGCAACAAUGCAAAGGGAUCUUAAAAAGAAAGUAUGAUCAAGACUUAAGACUUACCCCAGCAAAACCAUCUGUACUGGACUCAUCUCCAUAAGACUGUGAGGUACCAAAGGAAGCUUAGAAAUGUGUCAAACUGACCAAAUCAAGGAGUUUCAAGGAACAGGAGUGUAAUUCAUUUUUCUAAUUAGUUAUUAUAUUACACACACUAAUAUUUUCCACAACUAUCACUGAGUAAAUCCAUGUUGUGGGUUUUUUUUGAUUAUAUCAUUGUUGUCUGUUUAACAAGAAUAAGACAGGAUUAGUUUAUAAAAACGAAGUCAAAUGUUUUUGCACUUUAACUUCCAUGUUAUAUCAAAGCAUUAUCACUACCUAUAUACAAACACUAUAUUGCUGUCUAUAUUCAUAUAUAAAAAUUUCCAGUAAAAAUAGAAAUAAUAAUAGAAAUUAAAAAGAAGAUAUUUCAGUCAGUUGUAUUGACUACAGAUAUAAAUAUGGAAUUUGUGAUUUUUUUAUUUUUUUUUUAAGAGGAAUUGGAAGAUUUCAUAAUGAUGGAAAACAGUUGCUUGCCUUUUAUCUUUGUUUGGACAGUGAACAACAAUAUAUAUAUUUAUGGCCUGUUAACAUCUGCCAACAAGAAAAUAAUAUGAUUCAAGUAUUUUUAUAAGCUAUAUGAAGAUAUUUAUUGGAGUCAUUGCAUCAUUUUGUAUCUUUUGGAAUUUCAUUUUCAGUUUCUGGUGGUUUAUGAAAAAUCAAACUUAGCUUAGUGAUAAUACUGAAUGUUGGGAAACAAAUAUUACAAACCAGCACUAAAGGAAAAUAUAAGUCCAAAAGGCAAAUUUCAGAACUGUUUGUUAAAAGUUUGUUUGUUUUGUUUUUCUGUAAUUACUAUGUGCUUUCCAAUGGGAAAAAAGUGGU